GCCGGGGGCGCGGGCUCGGAGCCCGGGCGGAGUCCUGGCGAGUUGGCGGGGGAGGCGCGGGCGGGGCGCGCCGCAGCCCCGCGGGAAGGCGACGUCCUCCUCUCGCCGCGCCGGCGGGGCCGGCUGGCCCUGCUCCCGGGGACGGCGGAAGGGGGAGGGGCGGCUGCUGGCCGGGCGCGGAGCCGUCUGCCGAGGGCCGCGCUCCGCUCCGCGUCCCAGCCUCGGCCUGGCGCCUUCUUUAAGUUAUUAACGAGCCGCGAAUGCCGAGAAGCUCCCUCCCGACCCGGAGCUUGAACUUGGACGCGGCGCGGCCCUCGCACACGACCACACCGCCACCUCCCGGCGCGGCCGGAGAACCCACGUAAUCCGUGAAAGCACAAAGUACACCAGACACAACCGGAUGUCCUUCAGCAGAUGAAGGGUUAAAUGAACGGUACACCCAUGGCAUGGAGUCACACUUGGCAACAGAAGAGGAUGAAUCACUGAGUACACAGCUACAUCGGAGAAGCUCAAGAAAGUGGUGCAGGAUGAAAACCAUCCUUUCUAAAAGGUCACAUACUGUGUGGUUCCUUUGAGGGGAUCAGGGUCUUGCUAUGCAGCCCAGCUGGCCUUGAACUUGUGGCGCUCCUCCUGCCUCAUCGUCCCAGCCGCUGGGAUUACAGACAUGCACCACGAUGCCCAGCUGUGGGCUUCCAUGCUCAAAAUAACAAAGUGACCAAGUGGAGAUUGGGGAUUAACAGGCUAAAAGGGAAGGAAGUAGGUGUGGCCACAGAAGAGUCUGGGAAUCCUUAUGUGGUGGAUACUGUACCACAGCCUUGUGAAUAUCGUUGUCAUUUUUGUGCUGUUGUGACACAGGAUGUUACCUCUGGGGAUACUAGCUAAAGGGUACCUGAAAUCUCCGUUAUUUCUUACAUUUGCAUGUGACUCUGCAAUAAGUAAAUUUAACUUUAAAAAGCGCUUAGCUGGGAAAUGCAGCUCAUAUUCUGUUUUCUUUUUUGGUUUUUUUGGUUGGUUGGGGUUUUUUGUUGGUUUGUUUUGUUUUUUUGAGACAGGGUUUUGCUAGGCAGUUCAGUCUGUCCUUGAACUCACUUGUUGGCCCAAACUGGUUUUGAACUCACUGUGAUCCUCCAGCCUCACUCAGCCUCCUAAGUGCUGGGAUUACAGGAAUGCACCACCACCACCACCAUCCCACUUUAUUUUGUUUUGUUUGCAAGUCAGUCUAUUUCUUUUCAUCUGCAUUUUUAAAAAUAUGAUUUAUUUCUGCUUUUUGUUUGUUGGGGUAUUUGUUUGUUUGCUUGUUUUUUGAGAUAGAAUCUUGCUAUAUAGUUCAGGCUGGCCAUGAACUAACUUACGUAGUCCACACUGGCCUUGAACUCAUGGUAAUCCUCCUGCCUCAGCCUCCCAAAUAUUGGGACUACAGGCGUGUGCCACUAUGUCCAAUGACUGAUAACCUCCUCUUCACUUCAUUUUUUUUUUUUGGUGACAGAGCCUCACUAUGUAGUACAGUCUCACCUUGAACUUUGUGAUCUUCCUGUCUCAGCUUUCCAAGUGCUGUUUACAAGCACAAGCUCAGAUUUCUUAAAUAAGACAAAUAAAUGUACCUUGCAGUACACCACCAAGGAUGGGGAUGGAGGCUGGUGGUAGACCACUUGCCUGGCAUACAUGAGGGUAUGGGUUCAAUCCUCAGCAGCAUGGGAGACCGGAGAGUAUGGCAAAGCACUCAUUUGAAUUCACAGGGGAAAAAAUGUAUUUUUAGGAAAUUAUGUGCCAGACGUGGCAUCACACACAACCUAAGAUACACAGUAAGCAGAAGUGGGGGAACUGCAAAUUUAAGGCUGACCUGGUAAUUUAGUGAGACCCAAUCUCAAAAACAAAACAGAAAUGGCAUUUGACCCAGCUGUACCACUCCUGGCAUAGUCCUGAAAGAACACUAAGCAGUGUACUAUAAUGGUACAUGCACAUUCAUGUUUAUAGCAGUGCAAUUCACAGUAGCUAAACUAUAGCCUGGGUGCCCAUCCACAGAUAGAAAUAUUACUCUGCCAUAAAGGAAGAAUGGAACCAUGUCAUGUGCAGGGAAAUGCAUGGAACUGCAGAUCAUUGUGUUCAGCUAAGUCAAACAGGCUCAGAAAGUCAAAAUCACAUGUUUUCUCUCAUAUGAGAAGCCAAAUAUAUAACUAAUAGAUAAUAUAAAAGACAGGUGAUAGGAAAGUAGGAGGCAGAGUUUUGGAAACCAGGAAGGGGACAAAAGGAAAAGGGAAGAAAAGAGAGCAGGAUAAUGAGAUAGGAAAAAAAGACCAGCGGGCACAGUGACUCACCUGUAAUCCCAGCAGUCCAGGAGGCCGAGGCUGGAAAGUUGGAACCCACAUUGGGCAAUUCAGUGAUUUCAUGAGACCCUGUCUCAAAUUACACAGUAAAAAAAUGGGAUGCAGUUGUGGCUCUGUGUGAAGGCCAUAGGUUCAAUCCUCAGUACCACCCAAAACAAAAACAAAACUAACCAAGCUAUGUGAAAUGCAUUUAUCAAUUUAUCACAGUGAGCCUCUCCAUUCUAUAGUACAUUAUAAAUACACAUAAAUGAAUGAAAAGAAGGAAGAAAGGAAGGAGAGAAACAGAGAGAGAGAAAGCAAGCUGAGGCUUUAGCUCAAUAAUAUAGCACUUGCCUGGCAUGCCCAAGGUCCACACCAAAAAUGGUUUCCAUCAAAUUAGGAAAUUUUUUUCUAUUCCUUAAAAGAUGCCAUAAAACUGAGUAUGGUCACAUACACCUAUAAUCCCAGCACUUGGAGGGGCUAAGGCAAGAUUACCAAGAGUUUGAGGCCAGCCUGGGUCACACAUUGAACUCAAGGCCAGCCCUGAGCUACAUAGUGAGACCCUGUCUCAGGUCACCUCACUAUAAAAGGAAUAAUUAAAUUCUGAAGCUAUGGUGAGGGUGUUUUGAUUAUGUCGUGAUGAAAAGGAAUCUUUGUCUUUUAGAGAAUCAUUCUGAAAUAUUUUCCAACACCAAGAAUGUAUGAUGGCUGGAAUUUGCUUCAGGGCAAGAAGAGAAGGUUCCUGUGCAAGGCCAGCACUGGGCACGUGGGGCUCAUUACACUGCUGUGUUCCUGUCUGUAUUCAAAAUUUUCAGUGUGACUAGUUAUAAGAAAGCAUCAUAAAAGGGCGAGGUUGGGGUGUGGCACAGGCCUGUAACCCCAGCACUGUGGGAGGCUGAGUAGGAGGACCCCGAGUCUGAGCCCAGCCAGGGGAAUUUAGUGGCUCAUUGAGGCCUUGUCUUAAAAUAAAUAGAAGAAGGACUGGGAUGCAGUUUAGAGCAAAGGUUCUGGGUUCAAUUCCCAGGAGGGGAAAAAAGGAUGGAAGGGAGGAAAGAAGGAAGGAGGAAAGGAAAGAAGAAAAAAAAAAGGAAGGAGUGAAGGAAAGAAGAAAGGAGGGAAGGAAAGAAAGGAGGAGGGAAGGAAAAGGAAAAGAAAAAAGAGGAGCUGGGAUGUAGUUGGGCAGGAAGGCCUGGGACUCCAUUCCCAGCCUCCCUCCCUACACACACACACACACACACAAACGAGGCAUAGCGCACACCCGUAAUUCCAGCUACAUGGAAGGCGGAGGCUUGAGAAUGGAGUGUUUGAGGCCAGCCUGAUACUGAGGCCCAGUCUCAAUAGAAAGCAAUAAAAAGGGUUGGACAUGUAGCUCAGUUUGAUCCCUAGUGUCACCCUCACGCUCCAACUCACGCUCUCACACACAAGUGCAAAUGAGAGAAUGAGAGAAAAUAUUUAUAUCCUCCACAUAGCCAACAAUAAACAAGAACUCACCUGGAGUGAGUAAGAUUUCAUUUUUUUAAAGGAAGAAAAACAAUAAUCCAAUAGAAAGUAGGCCAGGCAUGGUGGUUUAUGCCUUUAAUCCCAGCACUUGGGAGGCUGAGGCAGGAGGAUCAUUAAGAGUUGAAGACUAGCCUGCCUGAAUUACACAGCAAGACCUUGUCUCAAAGAACCAAAAAAAGAAGGCAAAAUAGGUAAAAUCCUAGAAUAGACACAUUUCAGGAAAAAAAACCUUAAAUGGUCAUAUACACAUGAAAAGAGUGACAGGCUCAUUAGUACUCAGAGAAAUUGGUAUUUUUAUCACCGUCACAGGAGCCACUAGCUGUGGAAGGUGUCUAGUGUGAGGAGUGGACCUCUGAUGACCUGAGGCAGUGUCUCUCUCUUACACACACAUACACAUAUGCACACACAUUGUUGUAGCUUGGCAUAACUGAUGCCAUCUUGAGCCCUGCAUUUAACCGGUGCCCUGUGUUUGACCCAAGAGAAUGGAAAAUUACUCAGGGUAUAAAUCCCAUGAGAAAAGCAGAAUGAGCUGCAUCCACAGGAGAAAAAUUAACCUGCUCAACAAAAGGAGCAAGAUACAGGUGUCAACCAAAAUUAGUGUAAGAGUUUAACUAAACUCUUCCCAACAGGAUAUCUUCUGUGAUUCUCUCUUUUAAAAACUCUGUAACUUUCCAAUUUGGAGCCACUUGUUUGGACCCUGAACAGGGAAGGGGGGUGUCUAUAUAUGAGUGGUCCUGAGCUCAGUUAACUAAAUUCCAAAUUUAUCAAUUUGGCUGCUUGGAUUCCUAUAUUGUUCACAAACCCACGGCUCAGGCCCUUCCAUCACUCUAACUCCAUUGCUGCGUCCAGUAUUACUGGUUCCCACACACCCUUUCUCAUCAUCUCCUGCCCAGCGUUGAUGCUUGUACCCCCCCCCAGCCGCCGCCCACCCCUGUUCACUCUCCAAAGGAUGUUUGAUGGUGUUGCUCUCUCUAUGCGACAUGUUCUACCACCCUGCUGUUUGUGGUUCAAGACAGGCAGUGUGGCUGUGUGUCUUAAACCAUCCCUACCCAGCUUGGGAUGCUACUGCGGGCCCUGCCAUCCCACUCCUGUGUCUCUUGUCCUUGCUGUACCCCAGCCUGUGGCUGAGGGUCUGAGGAGAGACCAAUCAGGAUGGCGGCUUAGAGAUCCAUUCGACCCAGGGUCACCCCUUACCAGCUCCACUGAGCCCUCAUCCCCUUCAGAGCAGGGGGCAGCAGGAAGAGUGAGUGUGUUUCCACCACACCUGCCUAGCUUCUCCCUCCUGGGGGGCCUGGCCUCCUUUCCCUGAAGAGGUGUGAGCUAGGUUCCCCACCCCAAGGGACUGGAAUGCCAUCCUUGCUGAGAACUGGGAUGACAGGACCUCACAGGCCAGUGGAUACUCUGUAAGUUAGGGCCCAACCCUUGCCCAAGCCCUCUGUUCUGGGAUCCUGUGUCCUCCCUGGGGCCCCAAAACCACAAGACGCCAGUCAGAAUGGAGGGGCAUCUGGUGUCCCUGUGGUCACAUCACAGCACUGGAAUCAGUAGGAUGAGUGGCAGGGUUACUGUUUCAAACCUCUUUGAAUGUAUGUACCCCCAAAUUCUUUCAUUCCCAAGGUGAUGAGGGCCCUUGGGAGGUGAUCAAGUCAUGAGGUCAGAGCCUCUAUCUCUGCAGUUAGUGUCCUGAGGAAGGAGCCAACAAGAGCCACCAAGCAAGGACACAGUCAGCAGGUACCACUUGUGACCAGGAGCCCAGCCCCCCCUCCUGUGCCUUCCCUUCCUUUCCCCUUCUCUUCUUUUCUUUCUGGGGUCAGGGUCUUGCUCUGUGGCCCCGGGUGGUCUCAAAUCCCUGAGCGAUCUUCCUGCUUUGUCCUCCUGAGUGUUUGGGCCUGGCAACUCCACUUGCAGUUGUUUUCAGCCAGCCCCUCACUGUAUGGCACUUUUGACCUCAACCCUAAUGGGCUGAGGCAUUUUCAUGACAAAGGAAGAGUCCUGCUUGGUGCUUCUUGAAAAAGCAGGCUGAGAGUGGUUCUUAGAAGGGACAACUCCACAACCCAUCCAAACUUGUAUUGUCUGCUGAGAGACACGGUCAGUCACUAUUAGCAUAAUAGCUUCCGCACCUGUUCUAGACAUUGCACGAGUGUUUACUCAUUCAGUCUUUAGUCUACAAUUGGGAAACUGAGGCAGAAGGACCAUACAGUGAAUGCUGAACCCAGUUGCUAAUCUCCAUGUGUCACCGGCUACCUGCCACAAGGCAGAGUGAGUGGGCACAGCACAGCAGUGCAUGCUGGGUUAGUCUCUGGGCUUCUGCUGACUCAGAUCCACUGAAUACACUUGGCAUCAGUAGUCUUGGAACACUUGUUCAUAAACUCUCUGUGAUCUGAAAUAUUUCUACCCCCCUCACACAUUAAGUUGACACCUAAAA